UACGUAGGGGGCAAGCGUUGUCCGGAUUUAUUGGGCGUAAAGAGCGUGUAGGCGGUUUGGUAGGUCCGCUGUGAAAACUCGAGGCUCAACCUCGAGACGCCGGUGGAAACCAUCAGACUAGAGUCCGGAAGAGGAGAGUGGAAUUCCUGGUGUAGCGGUGAAAUGCGCAGAUAUCAGGAGGAACACCGGUGGCGAAGGCGGGUCUCUGGGCCGUAACUGACGCUGAGGAGCGAAAGCAUGGGGAGCGAACAGG
rnacentral:rRNA from 1 species